UACGGAGGGGGCGAGCGUUAUUCGGAAUUAUUGGGCGUAAAGGGCGCGUAGGCGGCCCUGCAAGUCAAAGGUGAAAUCCCUCGGCUCAACUGAGGAACUGCCUUUGAAACUGCAGGGCUUGAGUCCGGGAGGGGGUAGCGGAAUUCCCAGUGUAGCGGUGAAAUGCGUAGAUAUUGGGAGGAACACCGGUGGCGAAGGCGGGUCUCUGGGCCGUAACUGACGCUGAGGAGCGAAAGCAUGGGGAGCGAACAGG
rnacentral:rRNA from 1 species